rnacentral:ncRNA from 1 species
AACGGAAAAGCCGAAAACCGAUAAAAGAGUAGGCA